rnacentral:rRNA from 1 species
AACGAACGCUGGCGGCAGGCUUAACACAUGCAAGUCGAACGCCCCGCAAGGGGAGUGGCAGACGGGUGAGUAACGCGUGGGAACGUACCUUUCAGUUCGGAAUAACUCAGGGAAACUUGUGCUAAUACCGGAUACGCUCGCAAGAGGAAAGAUUUAUCGCUGAAAGAUCGGCCCGCGUUGGAUUAGCUAGUUGGUGGGGUAAUGGCCUACCAAGGCGACGAUCCAUAGCUGGUCUGAGAGGAUGAUCAGCCACACUGGGACUGAGACACGGCCCAGACUCCUACGGGAGGCAGCAGUGGGGAAUAUUGGACAAUGGGCGAAAGCCUGAUCCAGCCAUGCCGCGUGAGUGAUGAAGGCCCUAGGGUUGUAAAGAUCUUUCGGUGGGGAAGAUAAUGACUGUACCCACAGAAGAAGCCCCGGCUAACUCCGUGCCAGCCGCCGCAGUAA